CAGAUGGACACUGGGUGUUUGCCAAGGCUGUCUUCAAAAGCACGGUGACAGGGACAGUCACACUGUCCCAGCAGACUUUUCUGGAUGGCAGCUACAGUGACAUCACUCUGGAGGUGGACAUACGGUCAUCACAGGUGCUAGACGUAACAGAGGUUUCCUGGAUCAUCACUGGUAAAGGCUCUGAGGUGAACGACAACCAGUGUACCAGUGUUGGGGACACGUUUAACCCCUUCAACAUGGAAGCUGGGAACUCCAGUUGUUCCCGUGACAACGCUCUGAGUUGUGAGGUGGGAGACCUGACAAACAGACAGGGGACAGUCAGCCUGACACACAGACAGCUGUACACCGACACCAGCAUACAACUGGCUGGGGACUACACAGGUAACACACAAGCAUGU